rnacentral:rRNA from 1 species
UACGUAGGGUGCGAGCGUUAAUCGGAAUUACUGGGCGUAAAGCGUGCGCAGGCGGUUUUGUAAGACAGGCGUGAAAUCCCCGGGCUCAACCUGGGAAUUGCGCUUGUGACUGCAAGGCUAGAGUACGUCAGAGGGGGUAGAAUUCCAGCGUGUAGCAGUGAAAUGCGUAGAGAUGUGGAGGAAUACCGAUGGCGAAGGCAGCCCCCUGGGACGUGACUGACCGCUCAUGCACGAAAGCGUGGGGAGCAAACAGG